ensembl:lincRNA
NNNNNNNNNNNNNNNNNNNNNNNNNNNNNNNNNNNNNNNNNNNNNNNNNNNNNNNNNNNNNNNCCCGGAUCCCGCCCGGUGCGGGUGCUGGGGGCGGUGCGUAGUGUUGUUUUGUUGAAAAGGACGGUGUGGACUGCACUCGGGAGAGGUGGAGCCGCGCGGCUGCCGGGGACGCAGGGGAGGGGCGGUGGGCGGGGCAGCAGGCGGGUGUGUAUGGGGGGGUGUGGGUGUGUAUGGGGGCGUGUGGGUGUGUGCGGCUGUCCCCCAGCCAAAGGACCUUCCUCCUCCCCGAUUCCCCUCGGGUUGUGCCGGGGCCCGGGGCGGGGAGCUGCUCUGCAGCCGCUCCUUUUGCCUGCUCCCUCCCGCCACCCCUGGGGAGCACAUUUCGGGCUACUGGGGACUCGGGAUUCGCUAACACAUGCGGAGCUGCUGCGAACUUCAGCCCCGGCCACGCCGGCAACCCGCGUCCGAACUUUGGCGACAUCGAUCGGUCUGCGGCUCGACUUUGUCCAUCCCGGGCAGGGAGCGCCGAGCGGGGUCUUGCGCCCACCCGAGGGGUUUGCCUACCCAGGUCUCUGCGGAUGCACUGGAACAUUCUGGAACUGGGAUGGCCCCUCAGCCUUGUCCCAGGUUGCAGCAAGGGCGGCCGGACUUCUGUCUCCUUCAUGAGGCCAUGUGCUCCUCGAGGAUAGGCUGCGUCUACACCUUUCAUGUCCUUGCCCCGGGAAACCUUCCCGCACACGGCGGAUUCUGUUAAUGAUGAUGGUGCGGAAAGGCAGAAGCCCAACUCACUGGAGGAAGGAAGAAAAUACAGAUAUUCUUUGAGAAUCUAAAUCCUUCGUUAACUCUGCGAACUAAUUUUUUUUUUUAAGAAUUUAUUUACUUAUUUGACAGAGAGAAAUCACAAGUAGGCAGAGAGGCAGGCAGAGGGAGAGGGGGAAGCAGGCUCCCUGCUGAGCAGAGAGCCUGAUGCGGGACUCGAUCCCAGGACCCCGGGAUCACGACCCGAGCCGAAGGCAGUGGCUCAACCCACCGAGCCACCUAGGUGCCCCACUCUGCGAACUAAUUUUGAAAAACCUGGAUAAGCCCCCCAUUGUCUACAAAUCUUAUGAAAAAAUAAUUUUCAGGCAUACCAUGUUUUGUUGGUUCAGUAAAAGAGCAAAUUUAAGGAACAUUAUUAUAUUAGUAGUUUUUUCUUUUUUCCUGUCUCCUGUGUAAGAAAGUUAUUUGGGCUUUUGCUUAGGCUAAUGGACUAGUAGGACCAUCAUUAAUGUGAUGGGGUAUUUUAGGCGGCACGAUAAUCGUUUGCUUAGAAACCGAUCUAGCACCUUCACUGACCUCCGACAUGGAGCGACAGUGGGGAGGGACAGGAUGCCAGCCCCUGCAGCCAUAGGAGGGGAGAGCACCCACCCACCCACCCAGAGCCGAUGAGGACCCAGCUGUCAUUUGUGUGAGCAUCUCUAGAACAGGGUCCCUCGCCAGAGCAGGGAGGAUGUGCUGGGUGUCCUGUGCUCUGCAGAAGAGUGGUCUGCUGCGGGGGUAAGUCUGGGCAUCACCGGCCAGCGUUGCUGUGUACUCGUGUCACUCUUGGCUCCGUGUCUCUGGGCAGUUUCCCGUGUUUGCUGAGCCUCAGUCUCCUCACCUGUCGGAGGUGGGUAAGGAUCCCCACUGCACAGGGCUUGGGGGAGACGGAAAUGAGAUUGGGGGGAGCAGGAAGGUGGUGGCCUGGGAAUGUUGGUUUCCACUCCCCUGUAAAGGGGCCCCUGGGAAAGAUCUCCCUAAGAAUGUAGCCUACCACCAUCCCACUCUAGUUAAGAUGAUGUUAUUCUUUUCAAAGGUCGGGAUUCUUAAUUAUAAAUUAAGAUGAGAACUUUUAUCCUAUGCAGUGUUUUGGCUAAAUACAUUUACAGAACUGUUUUGCAGAUUUCCUCAUUUACAAGUUAGAUAGUCCUCAGGGCCUGAACCCAGGGCCAAAGCCAUGUGAACCCCUUGUGAGCCCCGGGGCUGAGGACACAGUUAGACAUGGCCUCUGGCGAGAACUGGAGGGCCGAGUCUGGGUGGGGCUGUGGAGAACCUGGGGGUGCCCCCUUCCCCCACAGCAGACCCAGGCAGGCUCCGCCUGGGAGCCGAACCCCGCACCUGCCUGCCUCUGCCUCUUUGUGCCCCAGAGCCCACAGGGCCCACAGAGUCACUCUGCACAGAGACAGGCCGGUG